rnacentral:rRNA from 1 species
AUUGAACGCUGGCGGCAUGCCUUACACAUGCAAGUCGAACGGCAGCACGGAGCUUGCUCUGGUGGCGAGUGGCGAACGGGUGAGUAAUAUAUCGGAACGUACCCUGGAGUGGGGGAUAACGUAGCGAAAGUUACGCUAAUACCGCAUACGAUCUACGGAUGAAAGUGGGGGAUCGCAAGACCUCAUGCUCGUGGAGCGGCCGAUAUCUGAUUAGCUAGUUGGUAGGGUAAAAGCCUACCAAGGCAUCGAUCAGUAGCUGGUCUGAGAGGACGACCAGCCACACUGGAACUGAGACACGGUCCAGACUCCUACGGGAGGCAGCAGUGGGGAAUUUUGGACAAUGGGCGAAAGCCUGAUCCAGCAAUGCCGCGUGAGUGAAGAAGGCCUUCGGGUUGUAAAGCUCUUUUGUCAGGGAAGAAACGGUGAGGGCUAA